rnacentral:rRNA from 1 species
UACGGAGGAUCCGAGCGUUAUCCGGAUUUAUUGGGUUUAAAGGGUGCGUAGGCGGUUUGAUAAGUUAGAGGUGGAAUGUCGGGGCUCAACCCCGAAACUGCCUCUAAUACUGUUGGACUAGAGAAUAGUUGCGGUAGGCGGAAUGUAUGGUGUAGCGGUGAAAUGCUUAGAGAUCAUACAGAACACCGAUUGCGAAGGCAGCUUACCAAACUAUAUCUGACGUUGAGGCACGAAAGCGUGGGUAGCAAACAGG